UACGAAGGGGGCUAGCGUUGCUCGGAAUCACUGGGCGUAAAGCGCACGUAGGCGGAUUUUUAAGCCAGGGGUGAAAUCCUGGAGCUCAACUCCAGAACUGCCUUUGAUACUGGGAAUCUAGAGUCCGGAAGAGGUGAGUGGAACUCCGAGUGUAGAGGUGAAAUUCGUAGAUAUUCGGAAGAACACCAGUGGCGAAGGCGGCUCACUGGUCCGGUACUGACGCUGAGGUGCGAAAGCGUGGGGAGCAAACAGG
rnacentral:rRNA from 1 species